UACGAAGGGGGCUAGCGUUGUUCGGAAUUACUGGGCGUAAAGCGUGCGCAGGCGGCUUCUCAAGUCAGGGGUGAAAGCCCAGAGCUCAACUCUGGAAUUGCCUUUGAGACUGAGUGGCUUGAGUACGAGAGAGGUGAGUGGAAUUCCCAGUGUAGAGGUGAAAUUCGUAGAUAUCAAGCGGAACACCGGUGGCGAAGGCGGCCUUCUGGACAGUGACUGACGCUGAGACGCGAAAGCGUGGGGAGCAAACAGG
rnacentral:rRNA from 1 species